GAAGAUAUAUUUUUUCCUUGUAAAGAUACAUAAUUAGCUUCAGAUACAUUUUUUUGAUUUUGAAUCUCUCGAGAUACAUAAUUAGCUUUUGAUACAUCCAGCGAAAAUUCAUAAUUAGUUGAAACUUUUAUAAUUGCUUUGUAAAGAUAGAGUUUGUGUAAAUAUGAUAAGCUAUCGUGUAUGUUUAUGUUAUUUGUUGAGUAGACCAGAUUAGAAAGACUAGAGAUUGCUCAGUUGACAAUUACCUUCGACCGAAAGGUGUACGUUAGAUAGCUUGGUUACCAUCCUAACUUGUAUUUUUAUUGUUUUUACGAUUUGAACAAUCGAUCUUCUAAUUGACAUCAAUUGUACCAGUUAAUCGAAGGCCCAUACAGAUAAAAACAAAAAUAAAAACAAAAAAUGGGGAGUAGUAGAGGCAGGCACGUAGCACAUGUUGCAUGCAUAUAUAACUAAGAUAUUCCCGGGGUACAGAAAGCCGAUAGCAACAAUAUGUAUAAAUGAAUGCAAGCUUGCCCAUUAAAUGAUUAUACUGUUUAAAUCCAUUCAUUGCAUCUUCCACUGGUCGCUACAACAACUAAUUUCCUAAUUAACACUUCCUAAAUAGUCGGUUAAUUAUUGAAUGAAAUGAUUGCGUUUCCUCAAUCGGAUCUCCGUUGGGCGAUUCAUUCGGCGGCUUCCCUUCCGUCUUUCUCAGCCGUCAGUAGUCCGCAGCAGCGUCGGAGACCGCUCUGCACUAAUGGAAGCGCCGGUGGUAGUGGUAGUAGAACGACACCUAAGCCCUCUGUUUGUACGGCAGAUGAGCUUCAUUACGUUCCACUUCCCAACAAUGAAUGGAAACUCGCCCUAUGGCGCUACUUGCCUUCACCGCAGGGGAGCCGCAGGAAUCAUCCUCUGUUAUUGUUGUCUGGAGUGGGAACUAAUGCCAUUGGCUAUGAUCUUGCUCCUGGUUCAUCGUUUGCACGAUAUAUGUCUGGCCAAGGAUUUGAUACUUGGAUUCUUGAAGUACGGGGAGCAGGCUUGAGUGCGAAAAAUAGUCAAGUGGAACUAAAGGAGUCUUUACAAGGGGAACUUGAGGGUAUAUCUGAAGAGCUGCUUGGCUCAACUGGUGCAGUUUCAGGUUUACGAGAUGCAGCACAAGUUUCCGCCAUCACUAGCCAACUAACGGAAUUUGGUCGCGCACUUGGAAAUAUUGUUGAUGGAAGUCAACAACCAAUCACUCAGUUAACUGGUUUGCAUAACCGGUUUUCUAUUACACUAGAAGAUUUCUGGAAACAGCUUCAACUGAUUGGGAAGUAUAACUGGGACUUCGAUCAUUACUUGGAAGAAGAUAUGCCUACAGCGAUGGACUACAUAAGGAACCAAAGCAGACCAGAGGAUGGAAAGUUACUUGCUAUUGGCCAUUCCAUGGGAGGUAUCUUGCUGUAUGCAAUGCUCUCACAAGAUGGUUACAGAGGAAAGUGCUCUGAGUUGGCUUCAGUGAUCACUUUGGGUUCAUCACUGGACUACACUACUUCACGGUCAUCCCUGAAAAUGCUUAUACCCUUUGUAGAUCCUGCAAAAGCGGUAAAUCUUCCAGUUGUUCCAGUCGGAGCAUUACUUGCAGCUAUCUAUCCUCUUGCAUCUUAUCCUCCGUAUCUCUUAUCAUGGUUAAAUCCUCAGAUAUCUGCACAAAAUAUGAUGCAUCCAGAACUGUUUGAGAGGCUUGUCUUGAAAAACUUUUGUGAAUUGUUGACUUGCUGAAAGGGAAUAACAAGUGCACGGAUUCUUAAACAAGAUUGGUAUCAUCAUAUGGGCGUUACACAAGAACAGCAAUAUCAAAUAGGCAGUCAAGUUUUUGCACAGUCAAGCUAAUAUAGGAGAAUUGGCCUGUGUAGGUGUCAUUAAACGAGAAAUCUUGUUUAAUUUUCUUAGAUAUCCACGGUUGUCAGUUAUCAUGACUGCUAUGUCAUUGCACUAUUGAAUCUAACUUUCUCUUUUUUACUUAUCCAGUAUUGGGUGUCAUAGCAUAUUUCUUUUACCUGAAGGCGUUACCACAGUUGAACUCAGAUAGUAUAUAAUGUUCUUUUAUUCCACGCAGUAUUUGACGAAUAAAUUGUUGGUGUUUGUCAGAUGUUGUUUUGCAUCAACUGUCCUUGAGAUCAUUAGACCAUUGCUAACAUUACACUUUACACAACUAAUUCUCUCUUAAAGCCUUCAGUUGAUUAAAAUUUUGCAUCCUCCAAACUGCCCAAUACUCCCCACCGAAAAAGAAAAAAAAAACUCUUUUGAGUACCUCUACUGCUGUUAUGAUCACAUUUUAUGCAGGCACUAUUCCUGCUAAACUUCUGUCGCAGCUAUCAACAGCCUUCGAAAAGGGUGGACUACGGAAUAGAAGUGGGACUUUCUUUUACAAGGAUCAUCUUCACAAAAGCAAUGUGCCUCUUUUAGCUCUUGCAGGAGACAAAGACCUUAUCUGUCCUCCUGAAGCUGUGUAUGAAACUGUCAAGCUGAUUCCUGAGAACUUGGCUACGUAUAAAGUUUUUGGUGAACCUCGGGGUCCACACUAUGCCCAUUACGAUCUAGUCGGAGGACGAAUGGCAUAUUAUCAAGUAUAUCCACGUAUAAUUGAAUUCCUCAGUCGACAUGAUACAUCUUGAUCUCCUGAAUGUGGCAUCCUAUGCAUCCAGCUCUAUGACCACCUCUACCACAGUGCAAGUAUCAUGUGUCAGUGGAAAAGCUGAACCGUUAAUCCUACACCCAGCGCGGGCUCAUGAGAUGGAUGUAAAAGGCCUGGAGACCAUGCAAGCCAUUUUAA